UACAUGGGGUGCAAACGUUGCUCGGAAUUAUUGGGCGUAAAGCGCACGUAGGUGGUCUGUUAUGUCAGAUGUGAAAGCCCUCGGCUUAACUGAGGAAGUGCACCUGAAACUGGCAGGCUUGAGUACGAAAGAGGGUCGCGGAAUUCCCGGUGUAGAGGUGAAAUUCGUAGAUAUCGGGAGGAACACCGGUGGCGAAGGCGACUUCCUGGCCUGUUCUUGACGCUGAGGCGCGAAAGCUAGGGUAGCAAACGGG
rnacentral:rRNA from 1 species